GACUGCUGCACAAUCUUUUCUUGAUGUGAUGUACUGAUUCCUACACUUAUUCUUGGAUUACAGUUUCCAGGGAAGAUUAAUAUUUAAGGCUUUUCUUUAAAUUCAAGAAUACACAAACACAGAAAAUUAAAAGCUGCUCAACUUUAACUACUUCUUACACAGCUUAGAAUCAGCAGACCUUCUCUAGAGUCCACAAAGAACACAUCAAGAUAAUAUCAAGGUAGAGGGAACCCACCUAGACCAAGGACAUGGUUGAAAAUAAGAAAAUGUCUAAGUCUGAAACCAAAAUGACUUCUGUGAAGUUGGAUGAAAAAUCUAAUUCAAGAACUACAGG
ensembl:lncRNA